AUCCGAGGAACUCUGGCUAAGAACGCUGCUUCCUGCAGCAACGCCUGAGUAACCAACAUCCUGUUGG
rnacentral:sRNA from 1 species